CGUGUAGGUGGUUGGGUAAGUCAGAUGUGAAAGCCUUCUGCUUAACAGAAGAAGUGCAUUUGAAACUGCCCUUCUAGAGUACGGGAGAGGAAAGUUGAAUUCCCGGUGUAGAGGUGAAAUUCGUAGAUAUCGGGAGGAACACCAGUGGCGAAGGCGGCUUUCUGGUCCGAUACUGACACUGAGACGCGAAAGCGUGGGGAGCAAACAGGAUUAGAUACCCUGGUAGUCCACGCCGUAAACGAUGGGCACUAGGUGUAGGAGGUAUUGACCCCUUCUGUGCCGAAGCUAACGCAUUAAGUGCCCCGCCUGGGGAGUACGGCCGCAAGGCUAAA
rnacentral:rRNA from 1 species